ACGCUGGCGGUAGGCUUAACACAUGCAAGUCGUGCGAGAAAGUAUCUUCGGAUAUUAGUAGAGCGGCGGACGGGUGAGUAACGCGUAGGAAUCUACCUAGUAGAAGGGGAUAGCCCGGGGAAACUCGGAUUAAUACCGUAUACCUCCUUAGGGAGAAAGAGGGCCUCUCUUGAAGCUUUCGCUAUUAGAUGAGCCUGCGUAAGAUUAGCUUGUUGGUAAGGUAAUGGCUUACCAAGGCUACGAUCUUUAGCUGGUCUGAGAGGACGAUCAGCCACAUUGGGACUGAGACACGGCCCAGACUCCUACGGGAGGCAGCAGUGGGGAAUAUUGGACAAUGGGCGCAAGCCUGAUCCAGCCAUACCGCGUGUGUGAAGAAGGCUCUAGGGUUGUAAAGCACUUUAAGCAGGGAGAAAAAGUUAUAAAUUAAUACCUUAUAACCGUGAUGUUACCUGCAGAAUAAGCACCGGCUAAUUCCGUGCCAGCAGCCGCGGUAAUACGGAAGGUGCAAGCGUUAAUCGGAAUUACUGGGCGUAAAGCGCGCGUAGGUGGUUUGUUAAGUUGGAUGUGAAAGCCCUGGGCUUAACCUAGGAACUGCAUCCAAAACUAACUCACUAGAGUACGAUAGAGGGAGGUAGAAUUCAUAGUGUAGCGGUGGAAUGCGUAGAUAUUAUGAAGAAUACCAGUGGCGAAGGCGGCCUCCUGGAUCUGUACUGACACUAAGGUGCGAAAGCGUGGGUAGCGAACAGGAUUAGAUACCCUGGUAGUCCACGCCGUAAACGAUGACAACUAGCUGUUGGGAGACAAUGUCUUUCAGUGGCGCAGCUAACGUUUUAAGUUGUCCGCCUGGGG
rnacentral:rRNA from 1 species